rnacentral:tRNA from 1 species
GUCGACUUAGUUUCAUGGUAGAAUAGGGAACUUGUAAUGACUUGGCACUAGUUCGAUUCUAGUAGUAGGCA